GCGCCUGUAGCUCAGCUGGAUAGAGUACCUGGCUACGAACCAGGCGGUCGGAGGUUCGAAUCCUUCCAGGCGCGCCA
rnacentral:tRNA from 5 species